GAUGAACGCUGGCGGCGUGCCUAAUACAUGCAAGUCGAGCGAAUGGAUUAAGAGCUUGCUCUUAUGAAGUUAGCGGCGGACGGGUGAGUAACACGUGGGUAACCUGCCCAUAAGACUGGGAUAACUCCGGGAAACCGGGGCUAAUACCGGAUAACAUUUUGAACCGCAUGGUUCGAAAUUGAAAGGCGGCUUCGGCUGUCACUUAUGGAUGGACCCGCGUCGUAUUAGCUAGUUGGUGAGGUAACGGCUCACCAAGGCAACGAUGCGUAGCCGACCUGAGAGGGUGAUCGGCCACACUGGGACUGAGACACGGCCCAGACUCCUACGGGAGGCAGCAGUAGGGAAUCUUCCGCAAUGGACGAAAGUCUGACGGAGCAACGCCGCGUGAGUUAUGAAGGCUUUCGGGUCGUAAAACUCUGUUGUUAGGGAAGAACAAGUGCUAGUUGAAUAAGCUGGCACCUUGACGGUACCUAACCAGAAAGCCACGGCUAACUACGUGCCAGCCGCCGCGGUAA
rnacentral:rRNA from 1 species